CCUACGGUAGGCAGCAGUGAGGAAUAUUGGUCAAUGGACGAGAGUCUGAACCAGCCAAGUAGCGUGAAGGAUGACUUCCCUCUGGGUUGUAAACUUCUUUUAUAAAGGAAUAAAACGAGGCACGUGUGCCUAUUUGCAUGUACUUUAUGAAUAAGGAUCGGCUAACUCCUUGCCAGCAGCCGCGGUAAUACGGAGGAGCCGAGCGUUAUCCGGAUUUAUUGGGUGUAAAGGGAGCGGAGAUGGGUUGUUAAGUCAGUUGUGAAAGUUUGCGGCUCAACCGUAAAAUUGCAAUUGAUACUGGCAGUCUUGAGUACAGUUGAGGUAGGCGGAAUUCGUGGUGUAGCGGUGAAAUGCUUAGAUAUCACGAAGAACCCCGAUUGCGAAGGCAGCUUACUAAACUGUGACUGACAUUGAGGCUCGAAAGUGUGGGUAUCAAACAGGAUUAGAUACCCGGGUAGUC
rnacentral:rRNA from 1 species